rnacentral:lncRNA from 1 species
UCAUUGGUUCUUUCCUCCUGUCUCUAACAGGACCCUGCUCCUACCCACAAAGUGCUCUCUUUUAUUUUCUGGAGUCUCCUGUGCUGCUGAUGACGGUAGAGCUUUUGAAGUGUCACUGCUGCUCAAGAGUUCUGGAACCCUUACUGCCAAAGAGGCUGAAAUAAUAAUGGAUGCUACUCAGAUACAUCUACAAAAAAAUGGUCGUUCAACUCUUGGAGUUCAGCACUGGGCAGAUCAGUUUCAAACACUUUACUAGCACAAAUUAAUUUGCAUAACAAGAAGAAAUACACAAAAAAUUAUAAGGAAAACUCAAAGACUAAGAUGAAUAUAUGCUACUAUUCAAUGGAGUUAUGGACUGG